UACAGAGGGGGCAAGCGUUGUUCGGAAUUACUGGGCGUAAAGGGCGCGUAGGCGGCCUUCUAAGUCGAACGUGAAAUCCCCGGGCUCAACCCGGGAACUGCGUCCGAUACUGGAAGGCUUGAAUCCGGGAGAGGGAUGCGGAAUUCCAGGUGUAGCGGUGAAAUGCGUAGAUAUCUGGAGGAACACCGGUGGCGAAGGCGGCAUCCUGGACCGGCAUUGACGCUAAGGCGCGAAAGCCAGGGGAGCAAACGGG
rnacentral:rRNA from 1 species